GGCUGUGGAUGCCCCAUCCCUGGCAGUGUUCAAGGCCAGGUUGGAUGGGGCUUUGAGCAACCUGGUCUAGUGGAAGGUGUCCCUGCCCAUGGCAGGGGGGUUGGAACUAGAUGAUCUUUAAGCUCCCUUCCAACCCAAACCAUUCUAUGAUCUUCCCUAAACCUCUGCAAGCUUUAUAACCAGCUCAGGAGGGAAGGGUGCAGCCCAGCUCCUGUCAUCCCCAAAACCUCCUGGAUCAGAGUGGUUCUGGCCCAAACUGGGGUGAGGAGGGGGGGCCGUGCCUCUCUGUGAGCAGGCAGCUUUGGUGCUGUGCCCUGGCCAGGUGCGGAGCCCAUGGGGCUCUGGGGAAGGCAGAGAUGCUGUGCUGGCUCCUGAUGCAGGGAAGCCAAAGGGCCUGGCCAGGAAACUUCUGAGCUUGUUUGGGCUGUGGUUUGUCUGUUCUGCAGCCAGGCAGGAGCCCAGUCGGACCCUCAGCCCUUCCCUGGGUGGGUGGCAGUGGGCAGCACUGAGGCUGGGCCUGAUCCUGCCCCAGCCAUCCUGCUGCAAACCCCAAAUAACCCAUGCGGAGCCACCAGCUUUUUCGGGAUUUAAACCUUGCCAGCAGAGCUUGGCCCUGGAGAGCCACGAUCCGUACUGGUGUUUUCCAGGUUACUGACUGUCCUCCCGUGACCUCAGGAAGUGGAAGUUUCCCAGCAGCAGGAAUACAACCGCAAGCUUUAAAAAUAACCUGCUUUGCUUUCAAUGCUCCUUACAAAAUAGGCCAUGUUCCUUCUAUUUAAUCCCUGGGCACAAGGCGAAAAUCAUUUGACAGGAAAACACGGCGGAUGCUUCCAAGGGGGCCCUCGGUGGAUGCCACCGGCUUCCCUGCAAACCUCCAUCCCUUGCUGGGGGGUUUUUAGGACUCCAGGCUGGGGAAAAUUUGAGCAAGAGCCCAGAAUUUGGUCCAUUACCUCCAAAUGUCGCUCGGCAGCUUGCUGGGCUUAAAACAGGCCUGGCAAGGGAGACAGCUUGCAAAAACCGUGAUGCACCUCGGAAAAGGCACUUUAUUCUGUUUACUUCUGCCGUACUGGAGUAUACAGUGGAAAACCGUGCUGGCUCCGGUUCCCCGCUCUCCUCUCCGGUUUCGCGCUGCCCAGGUGAGCGCCUGCCGUCCCUCCCCGCUGAGGGCAUCCUACCUGUUGUGCAAUCCCCCUGGGGCUCGGUGCAAUCUGCUUUAUGAAACAUACAGCAAGCACGCAGAGAAAGAGUGAGGCGGGUUUUUUCCAAGUGGGUGGGGACUCCUUAAAUUCCCCUGGCAUUGGCCGCAGAAUUUUUUCCGAGCCUCUGCUCCAGUGUCUCAGCCCGCCUAGCCCUGGGGGAUUUGGGCAGCUUCAUCCCCAGCCUGACUCAGCGCAAGCCGCUCCUCAUCCUCCCUCUUGCGCCAAGAGCUGUGGCAAACACCCCCGUGGCGGUCGAUGCUGCCCGUGGAGGAGCCACCACCGGACCUGACUGGGUGGCUCGGUGGGGACCGGUGCCAUCAGGUCCUCUCCAGCACUGUGGCCACCAUCGGGUGGCCCAAAUGAGCACCCAAAGUCAGUGUUCCCCAGGGAUGCUCAGGCAUUUUGCCUGCCCCCACUUGCUUAUGCAAUGUCCCCCUCCCCUGCCCAAAGCCACCUGGAGAUUUGGGGGUCCGGGGUGGGCCGGACCAGCAGCCCCCGUAUCCCCAGGGCCCUCCUGCAUCUGUGGGAUGCCAGCUCCCAGGGAGGAGGAGGAGGAGGAGAGCAGGGAGGAGGUGGCCGGCGGUGCUCUGGGAGGGUCCGGACCCCCAGGCAGUCUCGUGCCCCCACACCUGAGCCCUUCACACCCAGUACUGGUUGUUUUUCAAGGGGGGGUUGGAAGUCCGGCAGUACUGGAGGAGCUCGGGGUCCGGCGGCGCCCCAGGACCGGUGCCAUGGGGCGGGGGACCCGAGCCCUUGCCCUCCAGGGUGUUGACAGUCGUUAGGGGGAUGCCUUGGUUGGGGUCCGUCCUCCGGAAGGUCUCCUGGUCCGGCACAGCCCCGUUCUUGGCCUUGGAGGAGGGGGUGCCCUGGACGUGGUGCUUCCCUGUCUUGUUGCGCUUGUGCAGGUAGAAGAGCAGGGGCAAGAUGAGAGCCAGCAGGAGGAAGAUGAGGCAGAUGGGGAUGAUGAUGCUGAACAUGUUGGCCUCAACGAAGCUGAGGAAAGAGCCCCCUUCCACAGGGCUGGGGCUGGUGGUGGCACUGGGGCCUGGCCAGGUGGUGGGGGACAUCCCCAGCUCGCUGGCAUUGGGGCUGCUCCGUGCCGUGCCCUGGGAGCGGGGCACCAGGGGCGAGGGUCCCGGGGGAGCCGUGAGCAGGGUGACACCGUAGGCUUUCGAGGCGUUGUAGGGCUCAAUGCUGUACCCCAGGGAUGCCAGAGCUGGUGGCACGCCGGUGGCUGCCAGCUCAAAGACGAAGCUGUCACUCUGCAGGGGCUGCUCAGUCUCAGCAGCAUCUGGCACCUCUAGCCCGACCAGCCCUUGCUCCAGCUCACUCUGGCUGAAGGUCUCGAUCGGGGUGGUGGGUUGUGCCGGGUCCCCGGAGACCCUCACGAGACGGCUGCCACGGGGCGCCCUGCGGAUCUUGAAGACUGGGAUGCUCUUGGUGCGGUUGGCCAGCUCACUGGCAUCAAGGACGCUGGUGUCCAGGAGGACCGUGGUGCCCCUGGGCCACACACUGCCCAUCUGAGCCUUCACCAAGGCGCGGACGGUCACGUUCACCACCCCGGUCGUGUUGGCUGCCUGUGACAUGGCAAGGAACUGGAAGUUGUCCUCAGGAGAGGUGAGGUCGGUGAAGGUGAACAUCACCUCCCCGCGGUCCAGCUGCUUCUGCGAGAAGCCCUGUGCCGGCUUUUGGUUGACCUGCACUUGGCCAAACCGUGGGUCCCUGGUGAUCCUGUACAGGGCAUUGCCUGCCCCAAGCUGUGCAGCUCCCAGGAGGUGAUGGUGGGACACAGAGGCCCUGUUCAGGUCUUGGGGCACCUCCAGCAGCACCGGGCUGGCAGCGGUACUUGUUGCGGGCAGCACCUCGACCUCCAGUGAAGUCGAAGUGGGUGGGUGGUGGCCAUCGGAGAGGCUCAGGGCUAAGGACCCUGGAGCACGGCUCCCAGUGGCAACAAACACCACGUGGCCUGCGUUGACAUCUGCUUGGGUGAAGUGGUUGAUGGGCUCCCGUGGGUUGUGGGCUUUGGCCACGUGGCCGGCGAGGGGUCUCUGGAGGACGCUGUACACCAUCUCCUCUGGGGAACCUGAGGGGUCUGCCACAUCCAGGUAUUCCUGGGACAAGGUCACCAUGGAGCCUGGUGGGACCUGCAGCACUUUUUGCCGCCUCACCACCUGUGGUGGCUUUCUGCUGCUGCUGGUCACUGUUAUAUUGAAAGCUUCAGAGAUGACCACCCCUUCCUGCGGAGGGUGGAUGGACUGCUGCACCCGGGGCCGGAGCCAAGCCUUAAAUCUGAAACGGUCUUCAGAGGUGCCGUCUCCACCAUGGGCAUACACCAGGUGUCCUGUGGCCAGGUCUGACUGCAGGAAGAAUGGCUGUGACUGCUCCAGGGGCACACCAGCCAGCAAGAGCUGCCCAUGAGCCGGCAGCCCCGUCACCAGGAAGACAACAUCAUGUGCAGCCCUCUCGGAGACCGGGAUUUGGCUUAGGAGGUUGGAAGCAUCCAGCACUGAGGUGCCGAUCUCAGCCCGUUGAGCCCUUGCAAGCUGGAGGCCUGGGGGCGAAAAGGGAAAACCCAAAAGUCUGUCAUCCCUGGGAAUAGCCGGGAUCUGCUGGAGAGGAGAGCAGACCCAAGCGAGAGCAAGAUAUAGCAGAAAAAGGAGGAUUGCAAAGAAAUGGAGAGGGAUGAGAAGGCAACUGGGACGUAUUAGUUUGCUGAGUCGAGUGCUGGGGACACCUGGCCUCGAAGGAGAUCAGCACGAGGAGGGUGAAGGAAUCUGAGAUGGUUGUGGGAGCGACCACACGGAAGCGGAUGGCAUCUUCGGCCAGCCAGAAGGGCUUCUCUGGCAUCUUGUGCUGGUAGAAAACCAACCCGCUAUCCACCUAAAAAUAAUAAUAA